UGCAAGUCGAACGAUGAUGCCCAGCUUGCUGGGCGGAUUAGUGGCGAACGGGUGAGUAACACGUGAGUAACCUGCCCCUGACUCUGGGAUAAGCGUUGGAAACGACGUCUAAUACUGGAUAUGAUCACCGGCCGCAUGGUCUGGUGGUGGAAAGAUUUUUUGGUUGGGGAUGGACUCGCGGCCUAUCAGCUUGUUGGUGAGGUAAUGGCUCACCAAGGCGACGACGGGUAGCCGGCCUGAGAGGGUGACCGGCCACACUGGGACUGAGACACGGCCCAGACUCCUACGGGAGGCAGCAGUGGGGAAUAUUGCACAAUGGGCGAAAGCCUGAUGCAGCAACGCCGCGUGAGGGAUGACGGCCUUCGGGUUGUAAACCUCUUUUAGUAGGGAAGAAGCGAAAGUGACGGUACCUGCAGAAAAAGCACCGGCUAACUACGUGCCAGCAGCCGCGGUAAUACGUAGGGUGCAAGCGUUGUCCGGAAUUAUUGGGCGUAAAGAGCUCGUAGGCGGUUUGUCGCGUCUGCUGUGAAAUCCCGAGGCUCAACCUCGGGCUUGCAGUGGGUACGGGCAGACUAGAGUGCGGUAGGGGAGAUUGGAAUUCCUGGUGUAGCGGUGGAAUGCGCAGAUAUCAGGAGGAACACCGAUGGCGA
rnacentral:rRNA from 1 species